rnacentral:misc_RNA from 1 species
UUUCCGUAGGUGAACCUGCGGAAGGAUCAUUAACGAGUACGGAUCAUUCUUGACCGACCUCAAACCCAUUGUUUAAUUACUAUGUUGCUAGGGCGGGCCCGUUUCACGACCGCCGGAAGCCCGCGGACCUCUCGCCCGUGCCCGCCAAUAGCCUUCUACAAACACUUGAUCAAUUUUGAUGUGUGAGUAAUAACUUUAAUAGUUAAAACUUUCAACAACGGAUCUCUUGGUUCUG